GUGGGGAAUAUUGGACAAUGGGCGAAAGCCUGAUCCAGCCAUGCCGCGUGUGUGAAGAAGGUCUUCGGAUUGUAAAGCACUUUAAGUUGGGAGGAAGGGCAGUAAGUUAAUACCUUGCUGUUUUGACGUUACCGACAGAAUAAGCACCGGCUAACUUCGUGCCAGCAGCCGCGGUAAUACGAAGGGUGCAAGCGUUAAUCGGAAUUACUGGGCGUAAAGCGCGCGUAGGUGGUUUUGUAAGUUGGAGGUGAAAUCCCCGGGCUCAACCUGGGAACUGCCUCCAAAACUGCAUGACUAGAGUACGGUAGAGGGUAGUGGAAUUUCCUUUGUAGCGGUGAAAUGCGUAGAUAUAGGAAGGAACACCAGUGGCGAAGGCGACUACCUGGACUGAUACUGACACUGAGGUGCGAAAGCGUGGGGAGCAAACAGGAUUAGAAACCCGAGUAGUCC
rnacentral:rRNA from 1 species